UUCGAUGAUGUUGUCUGGCAUCAGUGUCGAAAAAAUAACGAUGCUUUCACCAAUACAAACAAAACCAUUGCCGAAGAUUGAAAAAUGAAAAUUUAACUUUCAGAGCACUAGCUCGAGUUUUCCGACGUUUUUCACUAUACAGUGCGACAGCAGAUGAAAAUUAAAUAUCUUACCUUUGCUGCUCCAUAUUUCUCACCCUUUCAAUAGUCGAAAGCAAUUAGCCGGAAUAGAUUGUCUGGCUGGUUUUCGAAAGUGUCAACCAAAAAUCUCAAUCCGUGUACCAGAAGCAACGUCCGCCGCCAGGACUAAAUGAUUCAAUCGCGUUGCAGUCGGGAAAUUCUACGAUGUACUGGAGGACGUACAACAGACAUACAACACUUCACCAGAAAGGCAAUUCAACGUCGAUAAAACAUCAGUGAUUCCGGCGCAGACCAAAAAUUCCAAAAUCCAAGCAAUGCGGAGAAAAUGGCAGAUGAGCGCUGGGUGCUGAGCAAGGAGUAACCAUUAUAGAAUAUUCCUUAUGUUGCUACUGUGGGACUCAAUUCAGUUCCUCUACGGGUGGCAAUAAGUGGAACCAAUGAUAUUAUCUGUUCCUGAUUUGAGCAACGUCAAAUUGUAGUCCAAUCACUUUGAUCACAUUGUUAUUUUUUGUACAUGCAAA